rnacentral:misc_RNA from 1 species
AGCCCAUGAGAAUCGGAGUUUAUAUGCAUAUGCUUAUCCGAUUGAUUGGUUUUAUGUCAAAUUAAUUGGGUCUUGCUUCAUAAGUUAUCGUUUGAUUAGCGAUUGGAAAAGGUGACGGGGAAAAUAUUUUGUCCAUUGAUGGUUGAUCUGGUUUCUUUUUUAGUUUUAAGCUUUAUGAAAUUUGGAGCUUUCUCAAUUGAAGUUAAACUCGUGCAUGGAAUAACUUGAUCGAUAGGUGGCUG